AGAUUGAACGCUGGCGGCAGGCCUAACACAUGCAAGUCGAGCGGCAGCACGGGUACUUGUACCUGGUGGCGAGCGGCGGACGGGUGAGUAAUGCCUAGGAAUCUGCCUGGUAGUGGGGGAUAACGCUCGGAAACGGACGCUAAUACCGCAUACGUCCUACGGGAGAAAGCAGGGGACCUUCGGGCCUUGCGCUAUCAGAUGAGCCUAGGUCGGAUUAGCUAGUUGGUGGGGUAAUGGCUCACCAAGGCGACGAUCCGUAACUGGUCUGAGAGGAUGAUCAGUCACACUGGAACUGAGACACGGUCCAGACUCCUACGGGUGGCAGCCAGUCGAGAAUAAUUCACAA
rnacentral:rRNA from 1 species